rnacentral:rRNA from 1 species
ACGAUGAAGAGUUUGAUCCUGGCUCAGGAUNNNNNNNNNNGCUAGCGGCAGGCCUAACACAUGCAAGUCGAACGGUAACAUAGAGAAGCUUGCUUCUUUGAUGACGAGUGGCGCACGGGUGCGUAACGCGUAUACAAUCUACCUUUUACAGGGGGAUAGCCUUUAGAAAUGAAGAUUAAUACCCCAUAGUAUAUAUUAAUGGCAUCGUUAAUAUAUUAAAGUUUCGGCGGUAAAAGAUGAGUAUGCGUUCUAUUAGCUAGAUGGUGUGGUAACGGCACACCAUGGCAACGAUAGAUAGGGGCCCUGAGAG